UACGGAGGAUGCGAGCGUUAUCCGGAUUUAUUGGGUUUAAAGGGUGCGUAGGCGGGAUGCCAAGUCAGCGGUAAAAAUGCGGUGCUCAACGCCGUCGAGCCGUUGAAACUGGCGUUCUUGAGUGGGCGAGAAGUAUGCGGAAUGCGUGGUGUAGCGGUGAAAUGCAUAGAUAUCACGCAGAACUCCGAUUGCGAAGGCAGCAUACCGGCGCCCUACUGACGCUGAGGUACGAAAGCGUGGGUAUCGAACAGG
rnacentral:rRNA from 1 species